CCACGCCCCGCCUCUUCUACCAGGCGCCCUGAUCUCCAGACACUGCCAGGAUUUUCCCGAAAGUCCUCUGUGGUUGGAAAUGUCUGUACAAAUUCACGUACUUCUAUACGCAAAAAUCUAGAGACUGUCAGAAAUCAAGAGGAAACGGGGAGAUAGAGAGGAAGAGACACAGAGAGACAUCUUCAGCACUGCUUCACCACUCACUGGCACUUUCCCCUGGCUUGUGCAUUGUAAUACAUGCGCUCAAACAGGUGCACCACCACCCAGCCCCAGAUUCUCUGGAGUGACAGAAAUCCUAGCUAAACCUUUUGUGUGAAGGACAGUUUUGGGAUAUAGUUGAAUUGACUAUCUUCACUGUCUACAUUAAAGCAGAAUAAAGUAUGAACAAUUUUUGAUAAAUUAUGUCAAGCGUUUGGGUUUUUCCAUUUGGCUUUGGACAUAAGGCAAUACUCCAGAAAACAAAGGCAAACCCUUGGGACGCAACACAGUCAUCUGGAAAUACCUAUCUAUUAGUGUGUAACUUGAUGUCCGUGCUUCCAAAUUAUCUUGAUCAACAAAUAUUUUGCUUUGGUUUUUCUUUUCCUGAUAACUCCAGGCUCCCAGGCCCCAGAGAUUCUGCUUUAGUAAUUACUGGCUAAAUCAGGAACUUCAUCUCUUAAAAAAGAUCUUCAAUAUUUUGGCUUGAGGCUAAAGGUAGGAACCACAGAUGCACACCAGACUACUUGGGAUAUAUAGUAAUCAAGAGGAAUAGAUAAAUUCCACAGUUUUUGGGCAGGCUCUCCAUUAUACAGCAGCAAUAUCCUAACAGGUUCAUCAGACUACUAUUUCCCCAGUGUUUUCUCCUUUCUAGACAGUAAGCAUAUUAUAUGGUGAAACCACCUUGUAUCUAAGUAAAUUUCUCGGAUAGGAUUCCUAGGGGAAAGGAUACUUCUAAGAGGCAUAAGAAUUAAAAGAGUGGAUCUGUAGCCCUUACUUAGAAUCUGCACAUUCUAAUGUUUUUGACUCAGGUCAACUCCUGGAAAAUUCUCCUUAUUGGAAAGUAUAAAUCUGUCCAUCACUGUACAACAGCAUUUAGCCUUUUAAGGCAGUCUGGGUUUUGAGAAUUAUUUAUCCUACCUCAAGUCAUUACAUAUAAUCAAGUGAAUUUCUCUAUAUGGUUAGAAUAUAUUUUAAGAAGGCUCUUUGAAUACUUUUGCCUAAGAUUUUUAGCUUUUCUGAUAGUUAAAAAAAAAGCUUAUAUAGAAUUACAAUCAAUAGCACAGUUGGUUCUAUAUAGAUAGGCAAUGGAAAGUAAAAUCACAUUUAUGACCUUCCUUGUAGAAUUCCAAGCACCUCAACAUUAAUAGUUCAGUCAGUAUUCAAUACAGAUUUUAUAUGUUUGCUCUAUGUGUAUGAUGGCCAAAAUACAUGUUUCUGUUCCUUAUGGUACUCAUGAAUGCCAAAGUUUAGUUUAAGGCUUUUAUAUAUAGUGUAGUACAAGAAACACAUAAUAAUUCAGUUCUGAAUAAAUAUCACUCUUGGUCUUCCUUGCAAAAUAAAACUGUGAAUUAGACUUCUGUCAGCUAAUCUUAAGGAAAAGACUAUAAAAAGGGAAAGUAAAUGACUUACCUCUUAAUAUGUAUGUCUCCAGGUAGAGUAGCUGAACUGAAAGCUUACACUUUAGAGUAAAAAAGAACUCAAUAUCAUUGAAUUUCUUUUCAUACUGACUAAUAACUACAGAAUGUUUGUUACUGAAGUUGACAAAGUAAACUCAUCUUUUAGUUGUGUUGUUUAUAAGGCAGUCUCCUGAUACUUACUGGCUCUGGGGAUCAAGUAUACAGUUAAAGUCAUAAUAGACUACAAAUGACACAUAAAAGUUUUUAAGCAUCUUAUCUUUGCUUUGAAGACUGAUUUGUCCAAUCAGUGAAAUUUUAUUUGUCUAACAGAAUAAAUAAA